AUGAACGCUGGCGGCGUGGAUUAGGCAUGCAAGUCGAACGAGAAAGUCUUCGGACGAGUAAAGUGGCGUAAGGGUUAGUAAUGCAUGGAUAACCUACCUUCGAGACGGGGAUAACGCGAUGAAAAUUGCGCUAAUACCCGAUGACAUCCCUUCACUGCGGUGGGGAGAUCAAUGGUGGCCUUAGGGUUGCCGCUCGAUGAGGGGUCCAUGUCCUACUAGUUAGUUGGUGAGGUAAUGGCUCACCAAGACUAUGAUGGGUAGCCGAACUGAGAGGUUGACCGGCAACACUGGGACUGAGACACUGCCCAGACUCCUACGGGAGGCUGCAGUCGAGAAUUUUCCGCAAUGUGCGAAAGCAUGACGGAGCGACGCCGCGUGUGGGAUUGAAGGCCUACGGGUUGUAAACCACUGUCAGGGGCUACGAAUAACCGAAUUAAUAAAUCGGUGACGUUAACCCCAGAGGAAGCCAUGGCUAACUUCGU
rnacentral:rRNA from 1 species